CUCCCUCUCGCUCCGUCAUGGAGUCAGGUGUGUACCUGACGCUGAUUCAGAUGUGGAAGACGUGCUUGUCGCGGUCGGUGAGCAAAUUGGAUACGAAAAUAUUAUUUCAGCGUCGAGGAUGAACAAAGCGGUGGUGAUUUUCCUUAAAGACGAAAGUAUGGUGAGUAAAUUAAUUGAAAUUGGCAUUUGGAUAAAUGGAGCAUUUUCUGUUGUUUCACUGCUUGUCUCGCAAGUUACAAUCUCUAAUAGUGACAUUGAGAAAGAAUUGUUGAGGUUUGGAAAAAUGGCCAGCGGAAUGAAAAUUAUUCCGCUGAGGUGUUGGAAUGAAGCAUUGAAACACGUGUUGUCUUUUAGGCGUCAUGUGUUUAUGUUUCUUGAUCAACCGUCGCUUGAUAUUUCCUUCCGAAUUCAACAUGAGGGUAAAUCAUAUAUGAUUUACGCGAGCACGGUGAACUUGAAGUGUUACAUUUGCAGUGACGUUGGGCAUAAGCAGAUCGCUUGCCCACAUAAUAACACGCACAUGCACUGUAAAAAAAUAUUUAGCAGUUUAGUUGUUUCAAUGAAUUUUUUUUAUGUUGACACAACUUGCAGUUACUGAAUUUGUUCAUUCAACUAAACAUUUUAAGUUUCCAGUGUCUCAACUAGUUUGAAAGUUGACUGAACUAGGUUAUUUGUCCUCAUAACUUGAAAAAAAUGUUUUGACUCAAUUCAAUAGCAAUAUCACGUUCACAACAUCACUUAUCGCGAAAUCUCGUCAUUAUCGUGAAGGCUGUUGAAGACAGAAGAAGGUCGUCAGCCAUACUAGUGAGUUCCUCCUCAAAGUUUGGACAUUUUACUAGAAUACAACUUUGGUAAGUAAAAUAUUCGUAUUUAUUGGCUUAAUGUGUAAAAUUACAUUUGUUGUCUCAGAAGAGUAAGUAUGGUUUAAAGAGUCGUAACUUAUAUUCUGUAUGUAAGUUACUGUAUGUAAAUGUUCAUUUCGCGGCGCUCUGAAGCCUCAAAAUACAGGCGGUUCCACAGUAUUUUCCUUAUUGAAACAGAUAUCCUCCCAUGCGGGACAGCGGAGCUGAACUUAUGUGGAGAACGAUAAAAAUACAGUUUGUAUGUAUUAUUUGAGCCCAGGGCUGCGUUAGAGACCGUUCAAACAGAGCGCGAGAGCUCAACCAAUCACUUUAUGGAUUAAGAAUGGCGGGAAUUAAAAAAAAAAGGAACUGCUCUAAACCUGACAGCGUAAGACAUCCGUCAGAAUAUACAUCGAUGAAAAAUUAGGGGAAAAAAAGAAGAUUACUACUCGAACUAUGUCUUUUCUGCAUGUUAUAAGGGAAACGAAUGAGCACCAUAGAUGAGCACCUCCCUCAGAGUUCUUCUGGAGCGCGUAACUUAACGUUACAUUUGAUAUCGCAGACAUAAGCUUAGUUCUGAUGAUUUUUUUACAGUCUACGGUUCAGAUGAAGUUCUGAAGGUAGCGUUACAAACUCUUCUUUCAGUUUUCUGAAGUAACGUUAGUCAUUCAAGUGCCUCAAUAGAACCUAGAACCCAGUGUAAUGCUGCGUGAAUAUCUGUUUUUAUACAGUCUAUGGUGAAUAUACGGUCAUAAGUAAAUUGCAUACGUUCAAAUCUAUAUAUUUUAGAAUAAAAGUAAUAAUAGCAUAUAUCUUGUAUAAAUAGAGAUAAAAUAAUGAUCGACAUUAAUGUGUUAAAUUUCCUUGUAUUGUGUUAUAAUUCUGUGUUGUGUCAUUUAAAAACAUCGUCUGGAUGGUAUAGUUUGUCUUUGGCAUUUAAAACAAACUUGUCAAUACAUUUGACUUUCUCUGUAAAGAUUUAUUUAUAUAUGUAUGUUUAUUAUUUUAGUGUUUUAACAUGUUUUUGUAUUUUUCAUAUUUAUGAUAUUUUGGAAUGACUGAAGAUUCAGCGCAGAAUUCAAUAAUCCUGUGGAUGGACCGCAGCGAGUCCUUUUGCAGUUAUCCAUCAAAAUGCUAUGCAGACAUAAUGGAAAUGGCAUUUACAUUGUAGAGCUUAGACAAAGUUCACACAGGCUCUGCGCAGGAAUUCAUCAAGGACAUGACUGUUGGGAUCACGCUUGUGGAUGACCAAUCUGAGCACCAUCAGUCUGCAGUGAUGUGAUCCAGCCAUCCAGUGACAUUAAGGAUGUUGAGAAAGAAAUUGAAGAGGGCAUUCUGAUUGUAACUGAGGAACAGCAAUGUGAUGUGCUUCCCAAGGAAUAACCAACAUUGGUCUCAUUUGGACAUCCUGUCAUCGGUGACAUCUCCCAUGUCCCCAAGGCAUUUGGACUCCUAAUGGGUCUGUAUGCAGUGAACAUCCACUACCUCCAACACAUUAAAUACACCUUUGAGGCUCUGCAAAAACUUGUGAAGAUCAGCUGCUCCCACCAUGUGUUCGCUACAGCGGCAGGAACUGUAGGUGUGGGGGAGUGAAUGUCCAGCGCUCUCUCCACCCUCAACACCACAAAUAAGGUGUCCUUGAGCAAGGCACAACUUUUCCCCUGGCGCUGCAGCAUAAAUGGCUGCCCACUGCUCUGGGUGUGUGUUCACGGUGUGUGUUCACUGCUGUGUGUGUGCACUUUGGAUGGGUUAAAUGAAGAGCACAAAUGUAUGUCAUGUCACUUUCACUUUUCAAUGUUCAUGAUGUGUCCAUCAGCUCCACAGCUCUCUUUCUUAAAAAGUAGUGUUUUUUUUUUUUUUUUUUUUUUUUUUUAUAAGGAAAUUUAGGUUAUUUUGUGCCUUUCACUACAUUUUAGAAUGUACAUUAAAGUUUAUCAUGUCAUGACUUGGAAUAUGCAUGUUCUCAUGUAAACAAAUGUUGUUUCACCUCUCAUUUUCUUAAACAGUAUGUACACAUUUUCAGUAUGUAGCAUUAUGAUGGUGGAGAGUUUGGAAACUUUCAAGAUCCUUCUGAUGUUAACACCUCUGUCUGGUCAUGUUGUGCUAUGAAAUUUAGAAUCUGACGGUUUAGAUCUUUGUGCUUCCAUGUGCAUUCAUUCCAUUUAUAUCUUAAUAUACAGAAGUACAGUACACUCAUUUUUUGUAACUAAUUGUGAUAUUAUAUACAUAUAUCUUGGUUUCUCAUUUUGACCAUGAAUUGCAUUAUGGUGGGGGGAGUCCAUGUGAACUUAUGCAUGUGCAUGUGCAGGGUUAAUAUGCAGAGUUCAACCUUCUGAUUUUCAUAUUGAGUUAUGAAAUUAAAAACAAUCCCUGUGGUUUUGAUCUGAUGAAUUGAAAUGCAACUAUUUGUUUCUCAAUCCCAUGCCAAUGUUAUUUAUUAUACAUCACACUUUCAAGUGUCGGUUCAGAUCUUUAGACGUGUGUUUGUAUUUUGCAUUUUUUGUUUUGUUUAUCAAUUAUCAGAUGAUGUGUUGACAGCAAAUUGCUUGUUCAAUUUAAAUGUGAAUGAAAGUGUUGUCUUUAUCAUUAAAUAAAUUACAUUAAAAAAGUGUUUUGUCAUCUUUAUUUAAACAUUUAAGGCAGUGGGGUAACAUUUGUUUAUGAUUAUUGAUCGAAGUAAAAAAAAAAAAAAAUUCCCUGUUGACACAACAUGAUUUAGUUGACUGGACUAGAAAAUAAUAGUCAAGUCAACUUAAAGAAAUUUGUUACCUGGACUAAUUCCACUCUAAUUUGAAGUUGUUUCAACAAGAAUUUUUUUGUCAAGAUAACAAAAAAAUUUUAGGCAGCGGGGUAACAUAAUAUUUUUAGUUGACUCAACAAAUUAUUUUUUUACAGUGUGGAAAACAAUGUAAAUGAGAUGGAAGUCAUUCCUAGUGUACAGACUGGAGAUAAUGUAGAGAUUAGUGAAGAACCAAACAAAAAAAUAAUUGAUGGGGAAAACAAAGAUGAAAGUGCAGGUGAAGGGAUGAGUAAGCAGAAGAAGAGAAAUUCACCUGGAAGUGUAGUUGGGGUAGUGGUACUGAAAGGGAGAAAAUGUGUGUGUAGGAGCUGGUGAUAAUGGAGAUGAAGAGGGACUUCGUGCUAAGUUACCAAAGGUUGUGGCAGACGAUGCACAAGAUACUGGACAGAAUGUUUUGUCCCAGUUAACUGAUGCUACGGAUGAGCAAGAUUACAAUGAAGAUGAUGAUGAUCAUUUUUCAGAAGCAUCAGAUAUUCUUUCUCAAAUUGGUGAAGAUCAGCUAUAUACAGUCAAUGAGGUUUAUGAUUUCUUAGAUGCGACAUUUGGAAAAGUUAUUGAGAUUAGUGAAUUUUUCCCUGAUGCAAAAAACUUUUUGCAAUCAGCUGUGAAAAUUCAACAGACAGCAAGUUACGAUGAAUUAAGUAGAAGAAAAAGAUUUAGAUUUAAAUUUUUUUUAGCGAAAUUGAGAAGAAAAAUGGCCCUUGAAAAAGGUUCAAUAACUCCUUAAUUAUGAAGUCAUUGGGGGUGUUUACUCUUGUCUUUUUCUUUGCUAACCCUUCUUUUUUUCUUUCUUGAUCUUUCCUUUUUAUUGAUGGGGAGUAUUAAGAUGGGAACAAUUAACAUUAAUGGAGGAAGGGAUGGUAAAAGAAGAGCAGUGUUGAGAGAAUAUAUUGAAAAUAAAGAUAUGGAUAUAAUUUUCUUACAAGAGACACAUAGUGACUCAGCUAAUGAAUUAAAAUAGAAAAAGUGGUGAGGGCAUAUUUUUUUAAGUCAUGGCUCUAAUACAAAAGGGGGUGUUGCCAUCUUAUUCUCAAAGAAAAUUACUAUGACCUUAGUAUCUAGUGAAGAAAUAGAAAAAGGUCGAAUUUUUGGCUGUUCAGGUUAAUCUGUUGGGUUUUCCAUUUGUGUUUGUUAAUGUAUAUGCACCUAAUAGUGGUGCAGAAAGGAUAAAAGUUUUUUUAAAUUGUCAAAGUAUGUUGGGGAAAUAUGAUAAAAAUGCUUGUCUUGUUUUGGGUGGUGACUGGAAUUGCACAUUAGAUUGUGCUUUAGACAUGAAUGGAGAAGAACUGUGUCCUCUUUCUGCUACUUGUUUAAAUGAUGUAGUAAGCAGUUUUGAUUUGUGUGAUGUUUGGAGAUCACAACAUCCGGUAGAAAAACAAUAUACUUGGUGUAAAUCUUCAAGUGACUACAUCAGCUUUGCUAGAUUAGAUCGUUUUUAUAUUAAUAAAGACUGGUGUAAUAGAAUUUUAAAGGCCUGUAUUUACCCCACUGGUUUUUCAGAUCAUCAUUUAUGUAUGAUUGUUUUUAAUUUACAAAAGACAAGAUGUCACAGUUAUUAUUGGCAUUUUAAUGUAAAAUUGCUGCAAGAUGCUUCUUCUUGUGAAAAUCUUUAUUUAUUUUGGGCAAAAUGGAGAGAGCGAAAGACUGAUUUUAAUGAUGUUGUGCAUUGGUUGGAUGUUGGAAAGGCACAAAUCAGGAUUUUUUUGCCAAAAUUAUACAGCAAAUGCAAAUCAUUGUUUUAAAAAAAACUGUUAUGGAGUUGGAAAAUGAAAUCAAAUCAAUUGAAAGAAGUCUAAUUAACCGAAAUGGUGAAUCAACUGAAAAACUGAAUGAAAAAAAGAAAGCACUGGCCUCACUUUUUCAUGAACGAGCUAAAGGAGCAUUAAUAAGAGCUCGUUUCCUUUCCUUGAGAGAGAUGGAUGCACCAAGUUCUUUCUUUUUUAGUUUUGAAAAGAGGGAAGGAGCACGGAAAGCAAUGUUACAUUUAAAGAAAUCAGAUUGGAUCAGUAACAAUUAACUAUGGCUAUUGAUUAUUAUACAGAACUGUUUUCAGAAUGGCCAUGUGAUAUUGGCUGUAUGGAUGAACUUCAAAGACUUACCAAAGUUGUCUGAUAAACAGAGGAGUCAACUGGACUUUGAAAUGGAUAUGGAUGAAUUAACAAAGGCUGUUAAACAUCUAUCCACUGGACGUGUACCGGGAAUUGAUGGACUUCCAGCUGAUUUUUAUAAACAGUUUUGGGACUUAUUAAAAGAUGAUUUGCUUGAGGUUUUUAAAUCAGCUUACAGAAAAAAAGAAUUGCCAACAAGCUGUAGAAGAGCUGUUUUGUCUUUGUUACCAAAGAAAGGGGAUCUUGGUCUUUUAAAGAACUGGAGACCAGUGUCAAUUUUAUGUACUGACUAUAAAGUCUUAGCGAAAUGUCUUUAAAAUAGAUUGAAAUUGUAUUUAGAAGAUAUAGUAAAUGAGUAUCAAACUUAUUGUAUUCAGAAAUAUGGUUGGAUGUGUUUGGGCAAGAUGCAUCUCCUAGAUGUUGGAGAACUCUAUAUAAGUCACCCAUCGAAAAACGCACUGCAGAUCUUCAAUGGAGGAUUAUACAUUGGGCAAUUGCAACUAAUAAAUAUUUGGCACAUGUUGACCCCACUGUGGGGAGAGAAUGUUCUUUUUGUGCUCAUGAAGAAUCUCUAAAGCAUCUGUUUUUUAGAUUGUACUAGGCUAAAUGGUGUGUUUCAGAUUUUAAAGGGAUGGCUUCGAACACUUGGAGAUGAGAUGGAUGAAAAUAUGUUUAUAUUUGGACCAAAGUAUGUUGCCUCAGAUAAAAAAAGAAUUUCUUUAAUUCAUUUUUUAAUUGGUGAAGCCAAGUUGGCAAUAUGGAUUACAAGGAGAAAUAAGCUUAAGGAUAGUGGAACGACUGAACCCGAACUUGUUUUAAAGGCUUUUGCAUCUGCAAGAAUUAAAGCAGAGUUUGCUUUUUUAAGUUAACAAAUAAAUUGGUGGUAUUCAGUGAGUUUUGGGGACAGGCUGAAGUGUUGUGUGUAGUUGAUCAAGAUGAGAGUUUAUUUCUGAAAUUGUAUUUUUUUUUUUUUUUUUUGUGUAAAUGUAUAUGUGUGUAUGUUAAUGUUAGUAUGUUUAUAUGUGAUAAAUUGUUGUUCAGAAAUAACUUUUUAGGAAAAAAUGUUAUUUAUUAAUCUUGGUGAAUAAAGAAUUGUUAAACUCAAGUCUCUUUCUCUCUCUCUGUCGAAGUGCAUGCUGGGGGUGAAAGGUGUGAGGUGAGGGCGAUUGUGUUUGUAGCUGCUUGCUAAAAACUUUUCUAUUUUUUUUAUCUUUUUGUUUGCGUGUUUUUUUCUUUUAUGUGUUGAAUUGUUUUACUGUUUAGUAGUUAGGGGUGUUUUGCGUCUGCAACCAGCGCUGCUGGGAGGCAUGACGAGACAAAACACAAUGAGUUUUGAUAAUUUAACCCGCCGCCAUGGAGUGAAGGUGGAGUCUAAAAUGAACGUGGGGCAGUGUUGUUUAGUGGUGGGAGAGAUUGUGGGACACAACAAUAUUGUUUCCGCGUCGCGGAUGAACAGUGCAGUUAAUUUUUUUUUUUAAAUCAGUUGAGAAGGCAAAUGAAGCUGUACAAAGUGGUGUAGUGUUGAAUGGUUCACUCAUGCCGGUUUUACCUUUGAGUAGCUCAUCUAAAAAGAUUAUACUGUCCAACGUACCUCCGUUUAUCAAAGAUGAAGUACAUGAAGUAGAUGAUACAGGAAUUAUCUCGUUAUGGAAAACUGGUCUCUCCUAUCAAAGAAAUUCCUCUUGGGUGCCAGUCACCAUUGGUAAAACAUGUAGUCUCAUUUAGAAGACAUGUUUUCAUGGUGCUGAAAAAUAAAUAAAUAGUAAAAUAAAUAUGGCACAUUUUAAAAUCGUAACUUUAAAUUUAAAUGGUGCCAGAGAUAGUCAUAAAAGAAUUAUGUUAUUUGAGUUUAUGAGACAAAAGCAAAUUGAUAUUGUGUUUCUACAGGAAACAUAGUGAUUUUAAAAAUGAGACUGACUGGAGAAAAGAAUGGGAUGGACAAAUUGUCUUAAGUCAUAAAUCCUCUAUUAGUGGAGGGGUUGCUGUUUUAUUUUCAUUUUUUUUUUUUACCUUUAUCUUGUGUAGUUGAUGAAAUAAUUGGAGGGUCGGUUUUUAAAAAUUAAAAUAAUUUUUGAGAAAAGUACUAUUUUGCUUAUUAAUUUUGAUGCACCUAAUAAAGGAUUAGAAAGAGUUAUUUAAAAAAAAAAGGUAGAUACUGUUUUGAAAGAUUUAAAUCCAGAAGAGUUGUUAUUCAUUGGUGGAGAUUUUAACUGUACCAUUAAUGAUAAGUUGGAUAGGAAUCAUAUAGAACCACAUAUUGCUUCUCAGAAAUCACUAACACAACUAAUUGAAACUCACGAAUUAUGUGACGUAUUGAGAAGUAUGAAUCAAGAUGUCAGACAAUAUACACUGAACAUUCUAUCUCUUUGGCACGACUUGACAGAAUAUAUAGUGUUCAGCAUCAACGUAAUCUUUUCAAAUUUUGUAAAAUUAUUCCAGAGGGGUUUUCUGAUCACAGUUUAGUUUUGUGCAGUGUUUUAAUUAAGUUUGUAAAGUUUAAGAGUGCAUACUGGAUCUUUAAUACUUCAUUGUUAAGUGACAAAAAAUUUAUAGAUGAUUUUAGUUUUUGGGGGGAAGUUUUUAAACAGCAAAAAUAUUUUUAUGUUUCUUUGCAACAAUGGUGGGAUUGUGGUAAAAUUCUUAUAAAAGAUUUUUGUCAAAAGUACACUCAUAAUGUUACUCGAGACAUAGCCCAUUCAAUGAAGAAUUUAGAAACUGAGAUUGUUGCUCUACAUGAUAUAAUAGCUUCUACAAAAAGUAAAAAGUAUAUUUAUGAAUUGAAGAGGAAAAAAGCAUGGUGAUAGACCUGUUGGGGGUUAAGGAGCUUUAGUUUGCUCACGUUUUCAAUCUGUGGUUCAAAUGGAAGCUCCUUCAAAAUUCUUUUUUAAUUUGGAAAUGAAAAAAGGUCAGAGUAAAAUUAUUCAUUCCUUACAGUCAGCUGCAGGACAAGAAUUCACUGAGCCUGCUGAUAUACGUAGCUGUGCUGUUGAUUUUUAUUCUGACCUUUAUAAAUCUGAACUUGUGGAAUGGGGUGCAGAUGCUGAUCAUUUCUUGGAAGGACUGCCAAAGGUGGAUGAAGAGUCCAACAAUGAACUACAACAGACUUUGUCAUUGCAAGAGCUUCAUACUGCAAUGAUGAGUAUGGAGAAUGGUAAUUGGCGCCCUGUUUCACUCUUGUGUUCAGAAUAUAAAUUUCUGUCUAAAGCUUUGGCCAUAAGACUUAGUAAAGUUUAUUGUAUCCCUAACAGGUCUAUUUUGGAUAACAUUGCUUUAAUUAGAGAUGUUUUGGAUGUUUCUAAUCUCUUGGGAAUUAACUCUGGGUUGAUUUCUCUUGAUCAAGAGAAAGCUUUUGCCCGAGUUGAACAUCUGUUUUUAUGGAAUACUUUAGAGGCUUUUGGUUUUAGCCCUUCUUUUAUAUCAAUGAUUAAGGCUAUGUACUGUAACAUUGAGAGUGUUCUUAAGAUUAAUGGUGGUUUGAGUGCUCCAUUCAGAGUUCAGAGGGGAGUUAAGGCAGGGAUGUGCCAUGUCUGGUAUGCUGUAUUCCCUUGGGGUCCCUUGGGGUCUAUCUGGGAAAUGAGAGUUUCAUAAAGAAAAACUGGGAAGGGUUAUUUGAGAAAAUAAAGGGCCGACUGGAAAAAUGGAAAUGGUUACUCCCUCAGAUGUCAUAUAGAGGGCAUAUUCUUGUUAUUAAUAAUCUUGUGGCAUCUUCAUUAUGGCAUAAAUCUGCUUGUCUAGAUCCUCCAAAUGUACUCCUUACAAAUAUUCAAACAGAACUUAUUUUGGGACAAUUAUCAUUGGACUCCUCAAAGCAUGCUGUUUUUGCCCAAGGAGGAACGAGGUCAAGGAUUAGUAAAUCUCACAAGCAGAAGAGCCACCUACCGUCUCCAGUACAUACAAAAACUUUUAAUGGGACCUUACUCGCUUGCAUGGAGACCAUUGGCAUUGAGCAUCUUGAGAAGAGUGGGUAAUAUGGAAAUAGACUUAACAUUGUUUUUAAUGGAUCAUAAAAAGUUAAAUUUUACUGGAAUUUCUGCUUCUUAUCAAAGCUUGUUUAAAGUAUGGGGUCUUUUUAAAAAUCAGUGGAUGGAACCAGCAACUUCUCUCUAUUGGUAGUUGGAAGAACCACUUAUUCUUGGAGCUCGGUUCGAUGUUUCUGGAGAAGAUUUUCCUGGGUUAACAGAUUUGUUAUUGAAAAAAAAAAAAAAGAUUUUUAAACUAAAAAACAUUAUAAACGAAUCAGGAUAUGAUUUACAAAUACCUGAUCAAAUUGCAACCCUUUUAGUGGUGAGAUCAAUACGCUUUGCUAAGAAGUUUCUUGAUAAAUUGACUGAGAUUCUAACUGAAGAAGAAAAGAUACUUUUAGAAGAGUUUGGUGCAGGGACUUUAAUCCCUGACAGUAAAGAUCUUUUUCCAGAUAUUGAAAUUUCCCCUGCUAUAGAUGUCUUGUUUUACUAGCCCUCUGUUAAACCUGGGAAUUAAUAAACAUAUUGAUUUCUGUACAGUAGAGGGAAAAAUGCUGUAUAAAUGUAUUGUGAAAGUUAUCCAUCAAUGUAAUCUAAGUAUUAAAACGGACACAGUAUGGAGAGAAAAAUUUGGGAUUAAUUCUGAAAUUAAGCCUGUUUGGAGAGCAAUUUACAAACCACCAUUAACGAAAAACUUGGCGAUUUACAAUGGCGAAUUUUACAUUGAGCGAUUGCUGUGAAUGCCUUUGUAUCUAUUUUAAACCCCACUAAUUGACAAAUGUCCCUUUUGUGUGGAACGAGAGACCAUGUUUCAUUGUUUUAGGGAAUGUAAGCGACUUAACCCUCUUUUUGACUUGUUAAAAGUUAUUUUUGAAGCAGGAUUUUAUUCUUGGUUUUUUUAUAGUCCAAAACAGAAGUCAAAAUGUCAUGUUAUUAAUUUUAUUGUGGGACAAGCAAAAUAUGCUAUCUAUAAUACUAGGAGAAAUAUGAUAGAGGAGAAGUCAGGUCAAGAUGUUGUUUUUAUUUUUAAAAAUAUGGUAAAAGCAAGAAUCCUUAUUGAUUUUAAUUUUCAUAGAUUAAUGAGUACAGUUAAUGUUUUUGAAAUUCAGUGGUGUUGUAAUAGCCUGGUAAUACCAGACUCUGCUACUUCACUUUGCUUCGUAGAGAGAGUGUGGAAUGGCAUAAUAGAGAAGUGUUUUCUCUCUUUAAUUUCAUUUUUGAUUAUGUACAAAGUAGUGGUGGGCCGUUAUCGCCGUUAACGUGCUGCGUUAACGCGAGACUCUUAUCAGGCGAUAAAAAAAAUAUCGCCGUUAAUCUAUUAUCAAAGUUGGGUUGGGAGCUGGGUCUAUACUAAGCAAGCUAUUAUGACUUUCACCUUGAUAUUUUAUACAACUGACUCGCUGAGGACAGCCUAAAAAGAUGCUCAGGACAGUUGACGGGCCACUGCUGCGCUGAAAAUCAUGCGCUCCCGCUAAAAAACAACCAAUCAGAGCAGCGGUCCGUAACUUUGUUUGUGUUCAAAAUGUAGAAAAAUUUAUAUAAUAAGCGAGUACACCAUGAAUCCAUUUUCCAAACCGUGUUUUUAGCCUGUCCUGAAUCACUAGGGUGCACCUAUAAUAAGUGUUUAUAUUCUGAUUAUUUUAGAUUGCUUCGGGGGUACCGCGGCGGAGUAACCCAGUAACUUUGUGAUUCUUCAUAGACAUAAACAGAGAGAAGUAGUUUCGGCUACGAUGUUCUUCCGCAAGACGCAAGCAGUUCUGUUUAUUAACCGCUAGAGCGUCAAAAGUUCCCUACCGCAGCUUUAAGUGAAAGUAAACAGUAGAGGGAAAAAAUGGGAUGUGUAUUAUAUUGGAUGCGUUCAUCGUCUCUUAAAGUGACUGCGCCUAAUUUAGCUCUUGACUGAAUUUCUUUGUAGUUUUAACAGUGAAACCAAAAAUUAUUCAGACUCCAGAUAUAAUUUUUGAUAUAUAUAGCAAAACUGUAAUAAUGUGAGAAAUGAAGGUGUCUGAAUAAAUGUAGGUUUGAUUGUAUAUUUAAUUUUUACAUUGAAGACUAUCCAGUGCUAUUAUUUGGUUUCUGUACCU